UACGAAGGGGGCUAGCGUUGCUCGGAAUCACUGGGCGUAAAGGGUGCGUAGGCGGGUUUUUAAGUCAGGGGUGAAAUCCUGGAGCUCAACUCCAGAACUGCCUUUGAUACUGAAGAUCUUGAGUCCGGGAGAGGUGAGUGGAACUGCGAGUGUAGAGGUGAAAUUCGUAGAUAUUCGCAAGAACACCAGUGGCGAAGGCGGCUCACUGGCCCGGUACUGACGCUGAGGCACGAAAGCGCGGGGAGCAAACAGGG
rnacentral:rRNA from 1 species